UGCGCUGAUGAGUGGCAGGAAACGUCUAAGGCAUAUUGGUACACCAUAGACUUUUUCGAGGGUGCAGGUGCCCACAGAGAGGGCUCUAAAUGCUGCCUCUGGCACCCGUGCCAUAGGUUCUCCACCACUGGUCUAGGUUAUGUGGCUUUGGUAUUUCAUAUAGCUCUUUGAAGAGGUUUAGUGAUAUACUUAGGCCUCAUGCAUAUGCCAGUAUGACCUCUCCAUACAAGUUCCAAAUUGUACUCCUCUGUAACAGAGCAUCCAUAGACAUUGCUUGAGCCCAGGUGUGUACCACCUUAUGUCUGUACUUCAUACAGAGACAGUUUUUUUUCUAUCGGUAACAGCACAAAGCUACCAACUGUGGUAUUUUCUAUUAUCGUCCCUUAGAAGCAUGGCUUCUAUAGCACAGUAUGUCCAACAUAUGGCAUGUGUAUGCACUACCAUAUGGCAACACAAGGAGUGCCACACAAGCUCCAGCACACAGCUCAAGACCAAACGACUAAAGAUCUUCGAAACGAAACAUCACUUCUUUUAAAUAGAUCUACAAAAGGGUCCUACCAGUUUUUUUUUGAAGUUGGAUAUUGCAAAUAAUUAGAUCACAUUAUUUAAUACAUUUUACCAGUAAUUAUUUUUGUCAUUCAUGCAGGAAUCUUGUCAGUAAGGAAAUAGUUUGACAAAUAUUCUAUCUUUGGUCUCUGCACAUUCCUGCAGAUAGCUGAACCAGAUGUGGACUAGAUGUGUUCAAAACAAGGCUUGUCCAAUUUAUUACAUUUAUCAGAAAUCAAAAAUGCAAAUCAAACAUGUCCAGGCAUUUUGUGUUCUGAUACAAGUGAGAAGUUUUGUUCUCCCAUCAGUGUUAAACUGCUCCACCCAUGUCUAUUAUACCAUGUAAAUUCAUUUUGUUUCAUUUACAAAUAAAAUCCAAUUUUGUAUCUUA